rnacentral:lncRNA from 1 species
AAAGAAGGCAGGCUGCUGCGCUUCUUGCUGUUGCACUGCCACAGACUGUUUCUCCUCUGCCCUGCCCUCUGCUAUGUCACCCUACCUUGGAGCCAGCUGACUGUGGACUGAAACCUCCACACACUCUUCAACACAGGGCCUAAGCCCAAAUUUCUGGGCACCGCUGGAUGUCUCUGAGUGGAUUCUCCUUGGCAGACUCAACUCAACACGUCCUGCCCUGAAUUCACAGCAGUUCCCACACAGCUCUGCUGUCCUCUCCCUCCAUUCCUCCUCACCACCCUUCCAUCCCCACCUCUACUCUGCUACAACCGGUCACGAAAGUCCUCACUCACAAUGCUCCCAUGGCUCCCACUGUCCUUUGAAUGAAGUCCAAACUCCUCGGAGGCCCAACAGGGACUCUGCCCAUGUGUUCCACCUCCCCCUGCCCACCCCUCAACACAGGCUUUAAGCACAAGGAGCUGUCCAUAAUUCCCCAAGCACGUCUUAAAGUGUUCUAUGUCUUUCUCAUACUGAUACGAUCCCUACAGAACUAAAGUUCUCUCUUGAGGAUAAAAAAUCUCAAUGUAAAGCCCAUUGCAACACUUGCUUGUGGUACCAUCUACAAUGACAGCUAUAAUUCACUCUGCCCCUUUCCAUCCCAG